ACGCCCUGCAAAAAAAGAUUCAUAAACACUUGAAAAUGCCAUCUUUUCAGUUUUAGUUCAUAACAAUGUAUAACUUUCCGUUGCCAUACGCCAUUUACAGCUGUUGUUUUUUUCCUUAAUACCUUUUAAUUUGGCCGAGGCCUCUACUCCCAACCACCAAAAGAUCAACAUUCAUUUGUUCAGCAGCUUCUACUAUUAUCUCUUUCGGGUUUCCUCUAAUCACCAUUGUCUCUGCUUUAAUCUGUUGUCAUGAGUUUUUUAAAGUUAAUCAACUACCAAGAAUUGCAAUAGUAUGUAAAUGUAAACUAAUGUUAUUCUAUAUAUGUGGCUGCCCUCGACUUGCCCUUUGUUGUUCACAUAUUUUUGUUGCACGUGACAUGACUUCGGCUGCACUUUCUUCCUGCGCCUUUUUUACAGAAUCCAUCACCGCUGGUGUUGCGAAUAGAACUAUAUAUCAUAGCAACCAAUAAAUAGUAUUCUCAUAUUUAAUCGAUCCAUAGGCUGUUGUAUGUAGGGUUCAAUGUGGUUUGAUAUUUAGCCGAACUGUUUAAUUAAUCCAACUAAAUGACUAUGUAACGUAAGCAAAUAAUUACUUCUCUACAACAUCCAAUAAUGCAAUAUAAUUGUCACGAAUUAGCUAGGCUCGAUCAUAUUCUAUUUUCAUUUUACUUCUUUAGUUACUCUUUUAGUGAUGUGCAUUGCUCGUUUAAAGAACGGGCAUCACGAAGAGGAGACAAACGGCAACAUCAAUUACGAAGACGGGAAGAGAGAAAUAACGUAAAUCAUGUGUCAAAACUUGAAAAUCUAUCAAGUUGUGGUAAGACGUUUGAAAGGUAUCAGAAGAGACCCGCAUUAAAAUCUCUCAACUAACCUUUUCGGGACAAAGCGUAGCUAAGAAAAGGCAACGAGAAUACAGGGACAGCGGUGUAUGGCAUUUGAAAAGGAGGCUGGACAUGAACAACCGUGAUCAUGGAGGGCUCCGCCUCCUCCGGCGGAGGCGUUGAGGUGGUCUGGUGGAGAAAUAAAUGAUCAAGAGCCCAUUGAAGAGCAUACAAACUCCCAUCACUCUCGUCUAUUGCUACCAUUAUCUUCAUUAUUGUUUCUUGUUUUUGCACUUGUACCAGUGUCUGCGCCACCGUUUUAUUAAUUGCCGAAAAUAUUGUCACCUUAAUCCUUUAUCAGUUUGGUGCGUUGUUUUCUUUU